AGCUGGUGGAGCGCACAAUUGGGGUCCUUAAAGGGCGGUUUCGUGUGCUCCACCGCACUGGUGGCGACAUCAUGUAUUCGCCGGAGAUGGCAAGUAAACUAGUGGUCCUGUGCGCUAUACUACACAACAACGCGGUAAGGAGUAGCGUAGAGCUUCCUCAGACAGAGGAAUUGCCUGAUGAGGAGCCAGGGGUUGUCCGACACUUCGGUGGGGGGAGUGUUACACGGAGGGGGAGCCAAGUCAGGGCAAGCAUUGUUGCGGAAUAUUUCAGCUGAAUGAUCACACAAACUGUGGACGACCACAACGGCAAGCAACACAUGAGGCACCAUCUCAGCCCCCUUCCCCUUCUCACUCCCCCUCCACUUCCCAGUCCCCCUCCCCUUCUCACUCCCCCUCCCCUUCCCAAUCCCCCUCAGCUUCCCAGUCCCCCUCAGCUUCCCAAUCCCCCUCUGCUUCCCAGUCCCCCUCAGCUUCCCAAUCCCCCUCAGCUUCCCAGUCACCCUCAGCUUCCCAGGCCCACUCCACUUUCCACUCCCCUUCUCAGCCCACCUCUCCUUCUCUUUCUGUGACCCCUUCUCCUCCUUCCCAUACCCCUUCUCCUUCUACUUCCAAAUCACCUUCUCAGCCCCCCUCACCCUCUAUUGGCCUAACAUUCUCUCCGCCCCCCUCGCCCUCUCAAUCAGACCCACCCUCUGAAAUAACAUCCCC